AUUUAAUAUUUGUAUAAAGUAGGUUGCUCGGUUUGGUACUGAACCCGUAAGAGGCAGGAUUAAAAUAGGAUUAGAUACCCUACUAUACUGGGUUGAAAUUAAUUAACGCCGGGUAGUAACAGUUAUUAUCUUGAAACCCAAAGAACUUGGCGGUAUCACAUUCUUAUUAGAGGAACCUGCUUCAGAAACGAUAACCCCCGAAGUACCUUACUUUUUUUUGUUUGUCAGUUUGUAUACCGCCAUUAUUAGAUUGUUUCUAGAGAAGGCUAUUAAGAUCAUUUAACAAAUGUAUAUAUUAGGUCAAGGUGCAGCUAAUAAAAAAGUGUAAGUGGGUUACAAUUAAUUAAGUUAGUGGCUAAAAGGGUGAAAUACUUUUAAAAAUUGGAUUUAAUUGUAAUAUUAUUUUAUUAAGGUGAUUUGAUCUUAGCUCUGUGAUAUGUACACAUCGCCCGUCGCUCUCAUCUUAAAAUGAGAUAAGUCGUAACAUAGUA
rnacentral:rRNA from 1 species